rnacentral:lncRNA from 1 species
CUUCCCUGUUUCAUUUCAUCACCCUGUCCCCUCUCCCCUCCUCUCUCCUCCCUUGCCUCUGAUCUUUCAGUGUGGUGGCGCUCUCAUGCUGCAUCAUCGGGGAUAACACGUGCUCUCUGUUUAUUAUCAGGGAGGGAGGGAGUUGGAGAGAAAGAAGGAGGGAGGAUGAGAGGGUAGCAGAGAACCCAUAGAGUAGACAGCCUUUCUCUGUAGCACACACAGACACACAGACCAGAACAGACUGGGGGAAAGAGAGAGGGAAACAGACGCACUGCAAAAUCCAGACGCAUCAACAGCCACCCUAGCAGCUCAAACCACCACAGCAGGUUGCUCUCCAGGAUGGCUGGGAUGAAGGAGCAGCAAUUUACUGAGGAGAAACCCCUACUGCAAGAACAGCGAGGACAAGACACUGAGAUGGAGAACUGUGAGACCCUGAUGCCCACUGGAGACUGGAAGGUACUGAAACUGUUUUCUACAUUUUCAAUGUACCGUACUCUCUUUCUCUCUCUAUCCUUCUCUGGUUGCUGUUAUUACUGUACAUCACAGGAGGCUGCUGAGGGGAAAACGGCUCAUAAUAAUGACCAGAACAGAGCAAAUAAAAUGGCAUCAAACACUUGGAAACCAUGUGUUUGACCUAUUUGAUACCAUUGCACAUCUUCCGCUCCUUACCACUAGCCCAUCCUCCCCAAUUAAGUUGCCACCAACCUCCUGUGCUGUACACUCACCCACGUAACCAUGGUGACUCAUUGGCAGGAGAAGAGGGAAGAAGAUGGGGAGAAGGAGAAGUGACUGUUUGGCCAUGGCACAGCCUAAUAUGAGUUGGGACCACUAGAUACUGAUGGAAUCAUUCACUAUCACACAGCAGCUCUCACACAGUGCAGAACCACAGUAGUUUUAAAGUCCUUAGAAGUUGAUUUCUGUAAUGUGAUGUUCAGAGUCUAUUUUAACAUGAAUCCACGUAGCGAUUAGAUCAGAGAUAUGACUAAUCGUCUAGACACCUCCAUUCUCCCCUCUGUCUGAUACCUCCAGUGUCACCUCCCCCCUCUCUCACCUCCCCCUCUGCCCCCCUCUUCCCCCCUCUCUCACCCUCUCAACUCAAUUCAAUUCAAAUGGCUUUAUUGGCAUGGGAAACAUAUGUUACAUUGCCAAAGCAAGUGAAAUCGAUAAUAAACAAAAGUGAAAUAAACAAUCGAAAAUGAACAGUAAACAUUACGCUCACAAAAGUUUCAAAGGAAUAAAGACAUUUCAAAUGUCAUAUUAUGGCUAUGUACAGUGUUGUAACUAUGUGGAUAUAGUUAAAGUACAAAAGGGAAAAUAAAUAAACAUGAAUAUGCGUUUGUUCUUCAAUGGUUGCCCUUUUCUUGUGGUUUGUUCUUCACCGGUUGCCGUUUUCGUGUGGUAACAGGUCACAAAUAUUGCUGCUGUGAUGGCACACUAUGGUAUUUCACCUAAUAGAUAUGGGAGUUUUUCAAAAUUAGAUUUUUUUCAAAUUCUUUGUGGGUCUGUGUAAUCUGAGGGAAAUAUGUCUCUUAUAUGGUCAUACAUUUGGCAGAAGGUUAGGAAGUGCAGCUCAGUUUCCACCUCAUUGUGUGGGCAGUGUGCACAUAGCCUGUCUUCUUUUGAGAGCCAUGUCUGCCUACAGCAAGGCUAUGCUCACUGAGUCUGGCUAUGCUCACUGAGUCUGUACAUAGUCAAAGCUUUCUUUAAUU